rnacentral:rRNA from 1 species
AGUUCUAGUUUUAAUAACUAACACCAACUUCUUUUAUUAAACAAAAACCAAUACAAAAUUAAAAACUAACUUCAUCAAAAACCAAGUCUCUAAGCAAUGGAUGUCUUGGCUCCUCACACGAUGAAGAACGUGGCAUAAUGUGUUAAGUAACCGGAGUUGCAAACAUCAUGACAGGUUAAUCUUUGAAUGCAAAUUGCGCUAAACUCGAUCUCGGUCGAGAAGCAUGGGUGUGACAGUACUACAUCUUUUAUAAUAAUUCUUAUUCUAAGCGAAUAAGUAAAUAAUAUAUAAGACAAACAACA